rnacentral:rRNA from 1 species
UACGUAGGGGGCUAGCGUUGUCCGGAUUUAUUGGGCGUAAAGAGCGUGUAGGCGGCCAGGUAGGUCUGCUGUGAAAACUCGAGGCUCAACCUCGAGACGUCGGCGGAAACCAUCUGGCUAGAGUCCGGAAGAGGAGAGUGGAAUUCCUGGUGUAGCAGUGAAAUGCGUAGAUAUCAGGAAGAACACCCGUGGCGAAGGCGGCUCUCUGGGACGGUACUGACGCUGAGACGCGAAAGCGUGGGGAGCGAACAGG